rnacentral:rRNA from 1 species
CCUACGGGGGGCAGCAGUGGGGAAUAUUGCACAAUGGGGGAAACCCUGAUGCAGCGACGCCGCGUGAAGGAAGAAGUAUUUCGGUAUGUAAACUUCUAUUAGCAGGGAAGAAAAUGACGGUACCUGACUAAGAAGCCCCGGCUAACUACGUGCCAGCAGCCGCGGGAAUACGUAGGGGGCAAGCGUUAUCCGGAUUUACUGGGUGUAAAGGGAGCGUAGGCGGUGAUGCAAGUCAGAAGUGAAAGCCCGCAGCUCAACUGCGGGAGUGCUUUUGAAACUGUAUGACUAGAUUGCAGGAGAGGUAAGUGGAAUUCCUAGUGUAGCGGUGAAAUGCGUAGAUAUUAGGAGGAACACCGAUGGCGAAGGCAGCUUACUGGACUGUAAAUGACGCUGAGGCUCGAAAGCGUGGGGAGCAAACAGGAUUAGAUACCCGUGUAGUC